rnacentral:rRNA from 1 species
GAAAAGUUAGUAGUUAAUACCUGCUAGCCGUGACGUUAACAACAGAAGAAGCACCGGCUAACUCCGUGCCAGCAGCCGCGGUAAUACGGAGGGUGCGAGCGUUAAUCGGAAUUACUGGGCGUAAAGCGCACGCAGGCGGUUUGUUAAGCUAGAUGUGAAAGCCCCGGGCUCAGCCUGGGACGGUCAUUUAGAACUGGCAGACUAGAGUCUUGGAGAGGGGAGUGGAAUUCCAGGUGUAGCGGUGAAAUGCGUAGAUAUCUGGAGGAACAUCAGUGGCGAAGGCGACUCCCUGGCCAAAGACUGACGCUCAUGUGCGAAAGUGUGGGUAGCGAACAGGAUUAGAUACCCUGGUAGUCCACACCGUAAACGCUGUCUACUAGCUGUUUGUGGCUUUAAGCCGUGAGUAGCGAAGCUAACGCGAUAAGUAGACCGCCUGGGGAGUACGGCCGCAAGGUUAAACUCAAAUGAAUUGACGGGGGCCCGCACAAGCGGUGGAACAUGUGGUUUAAUUCGAUGCACCGCGAAGAACCUUACCUACACUUGACAUGUUGAAAAAUUACCCAAAAAUGGUUUCGUGCCUUCGGGAACUCAAACACAAGGUGCUGCAUGGGUGUCGUCCCCUCCCGUCCGGAAAAAUUUGGGUUAAAUCCCCACCCGAGGGGAACCCCUGUCCUUUUUUGCCACCCUUUAAUUGGUGCUCUCACGAGAACGCGCGUGGCAAACC